CGAAGCUUUCAAAGAUUAUAAAACCAGUUACUGGUGAUAAAUACAAAUAUGUUAUUACACAAGUUAAUUGAACAAUCCGUUUGCGUGACACCCAUUUUCCCUAAAGAUAAAUUAACUCGGCAGCCUGACAAGAGAAACAAGAGUGAUCUCAAGAACAAACCAACAAUGGAUGAAGUAGCAAACAGAUAAACAAUCUGUACACACUAUUGAUCAAAUACUAGAAUAGACCAGAGCUCCGUCGCCAAUUAAUGAGAAAGCAUUACAGAUACUCUCUUCUUAGUUUCAACGAAUCCACUCAGCCGAACUCAAUAGAGCCUCAAUUCCAACUUCAUAGUAAUCAUAAUUUAUGUGCUGAUAUAUCAAAUUUUCUUUGACUUUUACUAGACACUCUCCCACACCAAUCCUGCGCCGGAAUACAGGAGGACGAUAGGGAGUGCGAUUAACACUCCCCUUAACAGUGACAUCCGUGGGUUACCACAUUAUAGCGCCCACCAUAUAACCUGUUCAUAAUUAAUCUGCAGGUUAACAGAAACCAAAUUUCCUAAAUAGAAAAGUGUACUUCACUGUUGGGUAGGUAGGAAUCACAAGAAAUAAGAGAAGAAAUGAAGAACCUCUACCCUAUCAAUGGAAAAAGGCCCACAAUGUAUCACAUUUCUUGCACCUUAUGCUAAAAUUUACAGUCUCUCAUCUAUCGAAAACCAGACAAUGCAAAGAAGAUAACAACAUUCAUACACAGUUCUGAUCAAAUUUCAUGCAAAACCCCAACAUAAAAUUGCCCAACACCCCUUUUGAGAAGAUAUAUUUCAUUCCCAAUGUAAAUAUUAACAAUUCAAUUUCAACCCCAUUUUACAAUUUAAUAGUAGAAUCUUUAACGGGUAGAUAAAUCAAUCAUAGCGUACAAAUUAUAUGCAACGAGUGGCAUCAAAUUCAUAAAUUGAUACCCAAACUCAGAAGAGAAGAGAGAGGAAUGAAAGGUACUUACGAGACCCUGUGGAGAAAAUCUGGCAAAACUUGGAUGAUAGGGGGAUGAUUUGCUGGCGAUGGUACAGAGCAGAGAAGGGUGCAGAAAAUGCGAGAAAGCUGACGGAUUGUUUUUGAAACUGGGUUAUGGCGUUACGCGAUGGCCUUAUGAGUUCUGACGCCUGUGGGUGUGCGCCUGACCUCAACGUCCUGGGCUUCUCUCAAUGAUUACGACAGCAACUCGCAUCCCCGAUAAUAAAAAAUAAAAAAAAUAAAAAAAAUUCUACAUCGGGUCAUCAAUUUCUAUUUUUAUUUAUUUUCUAAAUGGUAUAGCCGGGCGGCUAUACUGGGAUUUUCUAUAUUAAACACGGUAUAGCCGGUCGGCUUUACUAUUUUUACAUGUGGCGGAAUGUGCCCA
rnacentral:lncRNA from 1 species